GGCUGGUGAAUAAAGACAGAAGGAUGGUGGUCAUGGAAGUCGGAAUCUGCUAAGGACUGUGUAACAACUCACCUACUGAAUCAACUAGUCCUAAAUAGAAAGAAA